CCCUCGGCAUGUGGAAGUUCUCAGGCCCGAGGCUGAAUCCUAGCCUCAACAGAGACAACGUCUAAUCCUUAACCACUAGGCUAUUAGGGAACUCCUAGAACUAACUCAUUUUAAUGUCAUAGCUUUAGAGAACCCUCCUACACUUUUGGUAGGGAUGAAAAUUGAUGUAGCCACUAUGGAAAAUACUAUGCAGUUUCUUUUAAAAACUAAAAAUAGUUAGCGUAUGACCAAGCAAUCACACUCCUGGGCAUCUAUCUGGACAAAACUCUAAUUCAAAAAGAUACAUGCACUCCAAUGUACAAUGAAGCACUAUUUACAACAGCCGGACCAUGGACGCAAUCUAAAUUCCAUCAACAGAUAAACAGAUGAAGAUAUGGUACAUAUAUACAAUGGAAUACUACUCAGCCAUAAAAAAUAAAUUUAUGCUAUUUGCAGCAGCAUGUAUGGGACCUAGAGAUUGUCAUACAAAGUGAAGUAAGUCAGAAAAAGACAAACACUAUAUUAUAGCACUUAUGUGUGAACUCUAAAAUGUAACACAAAUGAACUUAUCUAUGAAAUAGAAACUUAACAAACAUAGAGAACAGACUUGUGGUUGAGGGAUGGCAGGAGUGGAUAGUUUGGGAUUAGCAGAUGCAAACUAUUAUAUAUAGAAUGCAUAAACAACAAGGUCCUACUGUAUAGCACAUGGAACUAUAUUCAAUAUUCUAUAAUAAACCAUAAUGGAAAGAAUAUGAAAAUGCAUAUACAUAUACUUAUAUAUAUUUUUAUAUAUAUAUUCUUAUAUGUUACUGAAUCAUUUUGCUGUACAUCAGAAGCUAAUAUAAUGUAAAUCAACUAUGCUUCAAUAAAAUACACUUUUUAAAAAGAUGGUAGGAAGAUUACUUAACUUCUCUAAACCUCAUAUGCAAAAUGAGUGACAAGACCUAACUCACAGAGUUGGUGUGAGAAUUGAAAGACACACACACAUGACAAGAUAUAUCCUGUACUAAACCAGAUAGAGCUCUCCGAUUCCAAAGCACAAACCUGUAGGCACAAGAUAUCCUGACUUAUUUCUGGAGCCAAGGAGAUGGCUAGCAGCAAUGAUUAUAGCAAUGGGGAGAAGAAAACAUCAAUAUGAUAAUGCUAAAUAUCCCUGACUCAGCAGCUCAGGCCAUCAAUUUAGAACAGACCAAUGACACUCUUUACAGUUCUCAUAUCUUGAAUUUCUGCCAGGGCUGAAACCAAAAGAAAAGCAAGACUGUAUUAUUUAUAACAUUAAAUUUCCCCAGGUUUCUCACAUACUUCCCAAACGUGGGUUCUUCCAAAUAGAUAAGUAGUUGUGCCCAUGUACACACACAGCUCUGGCCAUGAUGAGUCACCAACACUCUUACAGUACUUCUAUGGUAGAGUUCACUCCAAGUACUUUACACAUAAUAACUCAUUUAAUCUUCACCAAUAGUCUUAAUGAGGCCGUUACUAUUAUAUCUAUUUCACAGUGGGGAAACCGAAGCCCAGAGAGGUCAUGUAACUUAGCCAUCACAGGGCCACUUAAAGGUAAAACUGGCAUAUGAACCCAGGCAUACCCACACCCAAGUGCUGUACUGAGCUAGGUGCACUGUCCAAAUCACUACGCUUUCUCCCAUUGCCCUGUCUUCACACAUACUGUGCUCCUGAACUAGAUUACCAUUCUUUCCUCUCCCUCCCUUCCACAUCCUCCUGAUUAAGUCCAAGUGUCCCCUCAAGAGUCGUAUCAGGACCAUAGUCCCUGAAAACCCUCAGACCCACCCACCUCUGUUCUCCAUAAUGACUAUCCCAAGAUUUCCACUAAUAGGUAAAAAAAAUAUAUACGUAUAUCUCUAAAGUUAAAUGGUAAAUUAUAUUCUCGGAAGAUUCUGGGGAAAAAAAAUGUUUUUGAGAAACAGAUGGUAUCUCAGAGCCUCAAGUCUGUUGGCUUAUAACACUAAGGCAACGAACUUUAUGCCAACAAUUAAACUAGACUUCCCAGUAAAAUGGCAAACCCCUCAAUCACAUGGCUCCCAAUGAUACUGCCAGUAUGAAGUGUUUAGAUUCCCCAGGGCAAAAUAAGCAGAAAACUUUGCAGUAGCAGUAACUAAAAAGAGAAGCGUAUUGUGUGAGGAGAUAAGGGAAGACAAGUAACAGUUCCUCAACAGCUAGUCAGCACCGUGCGAUAUUCCAGGUGCUUGCUCUUUGUCAACCUAUUCUGUCCCUAAAGAGCAGGGAGGCAGAAUCUAGCCUGCAUGGCCCUCAAGGUCUACCAUAUCGUGUGUGACUUUAAAGUUUUGGAGACUGAAUCAUGACAGUGCUAGACAAAUAAUUCUCUUCAUAGCCCAGCUCAAACACCACAUCUCUGGGGUCCCAAAGCACUGACUGCUUAUCCCAGCCAACUUAACAUCCAACUUAACAUCCAACCGUCACUGAGAAUUUUUUUUCUUAUCAUUUCUACUAGUGAGGACUCUCUAUGUUUUUUGUUUGUUUAUGGUUUUUUUGUUUUGUUUUGUUUGCUUUUUAGGGCCACACCCAUGGCAUAUGGAGGUUGUGGGGCUAGGGGUCAAAUCAGAGCUACAGCUGCUGGCCUGCAUCACAGCUACAGCAACACAGCAACGCAGGAUUCAAUCCACAUCUGUGACCUACACCACAGCUCACGGCAAUGCCAGAUC
rnacentral:lncRNA from 1 species